UACAGAGGUCUCAAGCGUUGUUCGGAUUCAUUGGGCGUAAAGGGUGCGUAGGUGGCGAUGCAAGUCUGGUGUGAAAUCUCGGAGCUUAACUCCGAAACUGCACCGGAUACUGCGUUGCUCGAGGAUUGUAGAGGAGAGUGGAAUUCACGGUGUAGCAGUGAAAUGCGUAGAUAUCGUGAGGAAGACCAGUUGCGAAGGCGACUCUCUGGGCAAUUCCUGACACUGAGGCACGAAGGCCAGGGGAGCAAACGGG
rnacentral:rRNA from 1 species